rfam:Capsicum annuum cultivar Zunla-1 unplaced genomic scaffold scaffold3822, whole genome shotgun sequence
CAUCCUAGCCGGAUGGGGUCAAUGGGCAAUCAAUAAGCCCAUGACCUAGGUUGGUGACUUCCAUUGCACUUUGGAGGGGCGCACACCUAAGGUCAACCCAAGUGGUUGAGCCUACGACCCAGUUUUUGGCAGUGAGGAAUUGUGUUAUCUCGUCCCCUAU